AGCUGCCACUUUUGGAUGAGUCCGCGUCUCAUUAGCUUGUUGGUGGGGUAAUGGCCUACCAAGGCAACGAUGAGUAGCUGGUCUGAGAGGAUGAUCAGCCACACUGGGACUGAAACACGGCCCAGACUCUACGGGAGGCAGCAGUGGGGAAUAUUGCGCAAUGGGGAAACCCUGACGCAGCGACGCCGCGUGUAGGAAGAAGGCUUCGGGUCGUAAACUACUGUCAAGAGGGAAGAAACUGUUUGGUCAUAAUACGUCCAUUCACUGACGGUACCUCUAGAGGAAGCACCGGCUAACUCCGUGCCAGCAGCCGCGGUAAUACGGAGGGUGCGAGCGUUAAUCGGAAUCACUGGGCGUAAAGCGUGCGUAGGCGGCGCUUCAAGUCAGACGUGAAAGCCCUCGGCUCAACCGAGGAAUUGCGUUUGAAACUGGAGUGCUAGAGUCUCGGAGAGGUUGGCGGAAUUCCAGGUGUAGGAGUGAAAUCCGUAGAUAUCUGGAGGAACACCGGUGGCGAAGGCGGCCAACUGGACGAGUACUGACGCUGAGGUACGAAAGCGUGGGGAGCAAACAGGAUUAGAUACCCUGGUAGUCCACGCUGUAAACGAUGGAUAUUAGGUGUCGGGUUUUAAAUUCGGUGCCGCAGUUAACGCGUUAAAUAUCCCGCCUGGGG
rnacentral:rRNA from 1 species